GCCCGGAUGGCGAAAUUGGUAGACGCAAGAGACUUAAAAUCUCUCGGAGGCAACUCCGUGCCGGUUCAAGUCCGGCUCCGGGCA
rnacentral:tRNA from 1 species